rnacentral:snoRNA from 1 species
CCCCUCUCAGGGUGGCACCGGGAGAGUUUCCAGUCCUCUACCAGUCUCGGCUAUAGGAGGGAGAGUCAAGCAGAGGCCUACCAGUUCCAUUCCUAGCUUGGCCAGUGGCUAGUGAGCGGAAGGCCAUCUGCUACAAGU